ACACUUGGACGAGGUCAAUAGGUGAUCAAGAUGACUCAUGGUCUAGAUUAGUGACUUUUAUUGCAUUUUGGAGGGGUACUCGUCUAUGAUUAGCUCAAGCGAUUGAGUCUAUACGUCAUAAUUUGGGCAGAGAAGACUUGUAUAGACAUUCUUAUU